UGUGCGAGCGCACCCGGUGGCAGAGCAUUCGGCUGUUAACCGAAGGGUUGUUGGUUCGAGUCCAACUCGGGGAG
rnacentral:tRNA from 1 species